rnacentral:lncRNA from 1 species
AAAAUUCACUUAAAUACAUAAAGAAAAAAGUGACCAUAACUAAGAAUCAGACAAGGAAAAAAAUUGCAGAAUUUUGAAAUAUCUAUAAAUCACCAAUAUAAGGAUUAUCAGACAUAAAAUAUGAAAUGUGUGUCAUAUAUAUUUAAAGAACAGAUUCUAACAAGAAAAAAAGUGGGAAAAAAAGACUGGAUUUUAACGAUAUCGACCUGUAAUAUUUAAGCAGUAGAUAUUCUCGAAAUGAAAAAUAUAAUAACGAAAGUAAAAACUCAAUGGAUUUGUUAAAUGGCUCGCUAGAUACAAUGAAGAGAGAACUGGAAAACUGAAAGAUAGACUUUUAAAGUUCCUAAUAAUACAGCACCGAGAGACAAAAUGAUGGAAAAUAUGAAAUAGGGGUUAAAAAAAAAAUACAGACAAUAGAGUGAGGAGCUGCAGCAUAAGGCUAACUGGAUGUUCAGAAGGAGAUCAAAUGAAGACUAAGCGAGAGGUAUUCAUUACUCAAAAAGAUAAUAGCUGAGAAUUCCAGAACUGAUGAAAAGACAUUAAUAUCUGAAAUCAAGAAACCAACAAGAAAGAUGCAUUGAAAAAAAUCACCCAAAACCUAAACAUGUAAUUAUGAUAAUUAUUUAAUUUUUAUAUCUAUGGGGGUUAUGAUUGGGCAGCAGUUGAUAGAUUGGUAUAACACAAUGCAUUAAUUUUAAUAAAUUGUGUACUCUGUAGACCUGUCUAUAGAUAAUACAUUAACAUGUAUUAGUUACUAGUUUUUGUUAUAAUUGGGCCAAAUACAUGUGAGGAGUGGGUGUUUUCUAGCCACAUCUUGCUUCUUGACCCAACCAGAAACACAGUAGUUAAAACUCUCAACAUCAGGUGUAAUAGCUACAACCUGUUUUCUCAUGGGGAUGAGGGGAGGAACAUCAGGGCUAAUUUGUUCAAUUUUUGCUGUAAGUGUUUUCAACUCACUUGCAUUUCCAUAUUAUCAGAUGAGAGAAAGGUUAGGAAAAGGGGAAACUAUUUAGAGAACCAUAUGCAAAUGAGCAUUAGAAAAUAGAAUUCUAAGAGAUCGUUAUUUUAUAUUCAGAGCAUGUGUAUGCAUCACUGAAAGUAUAUCUCUAGGGAAUUCAACAAGUAGUCAUGUUUCUUGAAUGACAUUGUAGUCUUGUUUAUAUUUUUAAGGAUAUUGUGAUAAUACCAUGUCUUAAAUAUUCAAGAAAGUAGGUACUAUAUCUACUAAAUAAAUCUCUGUAUGUGUUAGCAUACCUACUGAGACCUGUUAAAGGGAACACAGGUCCAUCAUCCAGGGACUCAAUACGUCCCUUAAUAGAUAAUCCCCAAUUACUGAAUGUAUUAUAAAGCUUGUUUCUUUUCCAGUUGUCCAUCUAAACAGCUAGACAUUCUAAAAGCUGUGUAGAUAAUUAUGUAAUUCUCUACAGGUGGAUUAAGAAUAUACAAAACAUUGCAAGUUUUGUCUGUAAAACUUUCAUUGGGGAAGAAAGUGGUUUGAUAAGUGGUUUUAUACUUUUUCAUUUAUACAUUUAGAACUUUAUCCAGCUGAACUUAAUGCACUUAAAAUAGACCAUCCUAAGGCUAGCCUUUCUCUUUACACUUGUACUCAGAUGGUGUUCGUAUUUCUCCAGAUCUGAGCCUUAAUUGUCUAUUGAAAUCAGCAAAAAAAAAAGAAAAGAGGGUUGGCAUUUUAAAAUCUUUCUUUAGGAAGUUUCCAUUGUGAUACAGCAGAAAUGAAUCUAACUAGUAUCCCUGAGGAUGCAGGUUCGAUCCCUGGCCUUGCUCAGUGGGUCGAGGACCUGGCGUGGCUGUGAGCUGUGGUGUACGUUGCAGAUGCAGCUCAGAUUCCACAAUGCUGUGGCUGUGGCAUAGGCUGACAGUUGCAGCUCUGAUUUGAUCCCUAGCCUGGGAACUUCCAAAUGCUGCUGGUGCAGCCCUAAAAAGAAAAAAAAAAUCUUUCUUUAUAACUUAAUAUUUUAUUGAAUAUAUAUCUUAAUGAUUUCUUAUUUUUUGUUUGUUUGUUAGUUUUUUAGGGCCGUACCCAAGGCAUAUGGAGGUUCCCAGGCUAGGGGUCAAAUCGGAGCUGUAGCUGCUGGCCUAUGCUACAGCCACAGCAACACCGCAUCGGAGCCGCAUCUGAGACCUACACCACAGCUCAUGGCAAUGCCAGAUCCUUAACCCACUGAGCAAGGCCAGGGAUCAAACCCAAAACCUCAUGGUUCCUUGUUGGAUUCGUUUCUACUGUGCCACGACGGGAACUCCUGAUUUCUGAUUUUGAAACACAUGUUUUGGGAAGUCAUAUUUCUGCUUUGUUGAUCUUCUAAUGCCAAAAAGUGAGUGAAAGAUCACUCAGCCAUGUAUAGACUUACACAAAAUGAAGAGCAUAUUUAUACUGUGCUGAAUGCUAAAUGCCGUGGGUUACCAGAUGACUAUAAGCAUGAACCAUGACUGCAGCAAUGACCCUGAAAAGGCAUUGCUGCCUACCAUCAUCAGAAAGUAGGAGAAAAAUGUGGUGAGUGUUGAGGAAGGAAUGAGGAAGUAUGGUACAGAAGGAGAGAGAAGAGAGAUGAGAAAGAUUUAUUUGGAAAAUGACAAAAACGAUAGAAUAUUUUUUGUUUAUUAUUUCACCAUCUUUUAAUUCAGCAGAUUCCUUGAUUAAGAAAAGUACUUCCUCAGCAUUGCUUUUUAUAAAUGUUACUGAAAAGCAAAAGGGAAAAUGUCUACUCUGUUUUAAUAAUAAAAACCCAAUUUCAGAAGAGAGAUAUCUUGAGAAGCACUAAUUUAGUGCAGACAUCCUAAAUGAGAGAUUGCUCAAUUCAUCAAGAAAUAAGAAAUAAAUACUGUUCUUUCCUAAAUGUAUAAGGCAAACAUAAAUAAUAAUAACACCUUCAUUCAUGUACUGCUAUUUAGAUGUUUAAUCUUGGGUUCUCAAGAACAUGCUACCUUUGUAAGAUUCAUUAAGGGGCAGUGUGUGCUGCCUGACAAAUAUGGUCAAAUAGCAUCAAGGGUCAUUAGGCCAUUCAAAGGUCAAAUGACAAGGGUCAUUAUUAAGUGGCCACCACCACAGAAGCUGAAGCUACGCUUCAGACACAGAUGGACUUUGAAGAAUGUUAGAUGGGGUUAGAGACAUGAACAGAUUUAUGAUAUCAAGGUAACUUUGGAAGCAGUUUGGAGGAUUGGAAGAUGGAGAUUAAGAAUACAGGCAGAGACGAAGUAAACCCAACAAAGACAGACAGGAUGCUGUCAGAAAGAAUACUUAGUUCUUCAAACAUCACAGCGGCCUCAGAUAAGCAAAAUCAAGCACAUUCACUUCAUAAACAGUCAGCCGUGGUCUGAAUUAAGGAAGGAUCUUUGGGGCAGAAGAAAAGUGAAGGAAGCAUGGCGGAUGUCUUUAGACAACAUUGGGAUGAAUGAAGGGUUUAGAUGUCUAUCUGGGGCAACCUUGUGGGUGGUGAGCCAAUUCACAGGGCCGUGGAAUAGGGGUGCCUGGCAAUUUCCUCGAGGAAGGUGCUAAAACCAGUCAGGGCCAUAUGGAACGUGAGGUAUCUGGAGAAGACCCAAGUAGAUGUCCUGGAACCAGAUGGAUGUUCAGACACAACAGAAGGGUUCAGCACUGCAUAUACAAAUUUGUGGAGCUGUCAGCUCGUUUGAUCUUUGGCUAUGGAUAAAAUUACCCAGAAAACAUGUCAAAGGUUGAGAAGAGGAGCCUAGGGAUUUAAGAUAGUCUUAUUCUAGCUACUGUGCUUUGGAAGUGGCAGUGAUAACCCAAACCAACCUCGUGAUAUGGAAAUAGUUCUGAGGACUGGGAGGCUGAGGGGUAAAGCCUCCUCCAUUAUGAGUGUGUCACAUAGAAGCGUGGCCUCAUUGUUCUUCCAGAGCAGAGCUGGGACCAACCAGGGCAAGUUAAUGAGUGAGCUUUGAGCAUCAUAAAAGAGACCAAAUGAACAGCUGGAAUGCUACAACAGACAGACAGACAGACUGCCUUAG